AAAGUCGUAACAAGGUUUCCGUAGGUGAACCUGCGGAAGGAUCAUUAACAAAUUCCUUUCAUCGACCCUUUGUGAACUGGCGAGCGACUGCUUGCUGCUUCGGCAGCUUGUGGGAACUCGUGCGACGGCAGCGCAGCAAUGCAUAACUGCAUAGCCAGCAGCCUCGCAAUUAUAAACGCUUAAAUGUUUGACUAAGUAAACACAAUAACCAAGAACAACUUUUAACAAUGGAUCUCUUGGCUCUU
rnacentral:misc_RNA from 1 species